CCAAACCUUCAUCUUCGUCAUCCCCCUCCUUCCCCAAAAUCCCAGACCUAACCGCAGGACUCUUCGUCGAUCUCCGUGGAAAAUCCCCAAGCAAAAUCCUGCUGCCCUCCUUCCCCAAGCGCCGGCGGCCCUCCUUCACCUCCGUAUCCCAAAUAAGCCGCCGAUCUCUUUGCUGUCCCAGACCUCACCGUCGCCGCUGCCCUCCUUCCCCAAGCGCCGGCGGACCUCCUUGCCCAAUCGCCGGCAGAAUUUGAAGUUCAUCAUCCUAGCAAUAAGUCAUUCUCAUCUGAAGUGGCUGGAACCUCAAAAUCUAGUGGCUUUGGCUUUGUCUCAUUCUCAUCUGUAGGAAGCUGAAGCUGCUAUAUCAUCAUGUAACAAUGCCUUUUUGUAAGGGCAACGGAUCUGUGUCAACAAAGCCUAAUGCUGAUGAAGCUUUGGAAGUCUUCAAAAUGCUGUACUUUUGUAUAUUAGGAUAGGCUUUGAUGGAAUUUCCAAAGACUUAUUUUCUCAGAAGACACAAAUAUGAACAGGAUUGCAGCUGAUGCAUCUUUUGGAUUCAGUUUAUAUGUGCGACCCCUUUUUGGGACUGUCAGCUUGUUCACUUGCGUUGCUAAAAAUAUGGGCAGAACCCCGUUCUGUGCUUUUGCUUGCCACUUCGUCAUGAUGUAUUUAUUUUGAGUAAUAAUGCAUUGUUUUGGAGAAUGAGAAACUAGAAACACAUUUUGUUCUCAUCAUUUUGUUUUUUCUUAAUUACCCAAUAUCUUUUUUUGUUCUUCA